rnacentral:rRNA from 1 species
UAACACAUGCAAGUCGAGCGGCAGCGAAAGAAAGCUUGCUUUCUUGUCGGCGAGCGGCAAACGGGUGAGUAAUAUCUGGGAAUCUACCCAAAAGAGGGGGAUAACUACUAGAAAUGGUAGCUAAUACCGCAUAAGUUGAAAAACCAAAGUGGGGGACCUUUAAAGGCCUCGUGCUUUGGAUGAGCCCAGAAGAGAUUAGCUUGUUGGUAAGGUUAAAAGCUUACCAAGGCCACGAUCUCUAGCUGGUCUGAGAGGAUAACCAGCCACACUGGAACUGAGAGACGGACCAG